rnacentral:rRNA from 1 species
UACGAAGGGGGCUAGCGUUGCUCGGAAUCACUGGGCGUAAAGGGUGCGUAGGCGGGUUUUUAAGUCAGGGGUGAAAUCCUGGAGCUCAACUCCAGAACUGCCUUUGAUACUGAAGAUCUUUGAGUCCGGGAGAGGUGAGUGGAACUGCGAGUGUAGAGGUGAAAUUCGUAGAUAUUCGCAAGAACACCAGUGGCGAAGGCGGCUCACUGGCCCGGUACUGACGCUGAGGUGCGAAAGCGUGGGGAGCAAACAGG